rnacentral:lncRNA from 1 species
AUGUGUGAGCGAGCGGCGCCUUUUGGCGAAGGUGAGCUUAGGAAUAACAACCAGCCGUGUGACAUGUUGGAUGAUGCCGACGCUAACGCUAAUGAUAUCCAUGGAGAGGAUGGGGAGAGAACCCGGGAUACUGAGACAACAGAGCAAGACAAAGUCGUCAUUUGGGGAACAGACUCUCAGUGUGAUGACCCUGAGCUGGCUGAGUUUGAGAUGCUGGAGUGUCAGGAACUGGAGGCUUGUCUGGUCGAAGACGAGGAGGACUAUAUAGGACUUGUGCAGUGCAAAGAGCCUCAAGAUCAUCUGCCAUGCAGAAAAACCCUAGCCGAUCUGGCAACAGAUAAUAAAAGCCGAGAAGAGAAGAGGUGUAUUGUUCGUAACGCCAGUGAGCAGGAAUCAAUUGCUUCGGAGACAGACGUCUUUCUGUCUUGCUUGUCCACCGUUUCCAGCAUGGUCACUGCUGUGGACACUCUGGGCAAGAGCCAUGUGACUGAUUCUUGGCAUGCUGCCUCUGGUCCUCACUCAACCAUCUCAGAAGACCUCACUCUGGCUGAGCAAGGCAAGGCGGACCCUUCUUCCUUUGCUGCCAGAACAAGCACAACACACCACAGAGAACUUGACAUGAAUUUGAAUUCAACUGUCAACUCGGAUGACGUUGCAGCACAUUCACAAGUGAUUAAUGGUGUUUUAUGCACGGAUUCUAAUGAUGAGCACAAGAAAAACAAUAAUCAGAGAAAUAGAUCAGGUGACAUGAUUUCAGGAGAAUGUAUUCAAGGAAGAAAUGUUGAUAAUAAGGCUUUACUGUUUGCAAAAUCACAUGAAGAGGAUAACGGUAAAACAGAUAAAAGCACACAAGCUGAUGAAUCCCCUGGUUUGAACUGCAAGCCAGCUAGAACAGGUACAAAGGCCUCUCAGUCUUUCAUUGAGCCGCGGGCUUUGAAGAAACAAGGCUCCUUUGAUAACACGCUGAGGAAACAGAACUCUUUUGACAGAAGCGUAAAAAGGCAGCCGUCGUUUGAGAGUUCAUUAAAGAAGCAGCUUUCCUUCGAUAACAGCCUAAAGAAGCAGCGCUCGUUCGACAACACCAUCCCCUCCAGCUCUUCAAGUCUGGAGAGGAGGAGGCCUUGGGGAAGCCCGAGCCGACUGGAAAACUCUGCAGUGCCCAAAACUACAUUCGGUUCACCCAAAAGAGGAACUCCUGGAUCUCCAGCUAAGGUCCAAGGUGUUCGGACCAUAAGCUUGGAGCGUAGUGCCUCCCCUUAUAGAGGGACAAGUCAAACAGCUAAGCCAUUUGGUAAGGCCACCAUGAGCAGUGGCAUCCCCAAACCUGUCAUGCCUCAACAGAAGGAGCCUGAAAUCAGAAGUUCCUCUUCUCCUCAGAAGCCUAAAAACAUCAGGCCGAAAAUCAUCACGUAUGUACGCAAGAACACUCAAGGAAAACCACAAGUUCCUGAAGUUUCCCCACACGUAUACGAAACAUCUACCCAUUCUCCAAGUAUAUCCUCCUACUCCGGUCCCCAAGUUCACAAAGAUCCUAAAUCUACAGCCGUGCUUUGUUCUUCCAACCUGCUCUUUGACAAAUAUCGACAGGAGAUACAGAGGACGGGGGGGUUUCCUCCAGGCAUGAAACCUCCAAGCAACACCACUUCUUAUAGACUGGGAAGGAAGUUGGGCAGUUUUCAUGAGGAAUCCUUGGAAAAGUAUUACCAAGAGGUCAGAUGCACACCUUCAGUUUGA